UGAGGUAGUAGGUUGUAUAGUUGAGAACUACAUCUGCCAAGGAGAGCUAACUGUACAACUUGCUAACUUUCU
rnacentral:pre_miRNA from 1 species